rnacentral:rRNA from 1 species
AACUAACGCUGGCGGCGUGCCUAACACAUGCAAGUCGUACGAGAAAGUUGGCUUCGGCCGAUGAGUAAAGUGGCGCACGGGUGAGUAAUGCGCGGAUAAUCUGCCCUUUAGUUGGGAAUAACGUACCGAAAGGUGCGCUAAUACCUGAUAAUACUGCAUAACUACUGUUGUGUAGUCAAAGAAGGCCUCUGUUUACAAGCUUUUGCUGAAGGAUGAGUCCGCGUACCAUUAGCUGGUUGGUGGGGUAAUGGCCUACCAAGGCUACGAUGGUUAGCUGGUCUGAGAGGAUGAUCAGCCACACUGGAACUGAGACACGGUCCAGACUCCUACGGGAGGCAGCAGUGAGGAAUAUUGCGCAAUGGGGGCAACCCUGACGCAGCAACGCCGCGUGAGUGAGGAAGGUUUUCGGACCGUAAAGCUCUGUCGAGCGGGAAGAAAUGUAUCAUGGCUAAUAUCCAUGAUACUUGACGGUACCGCUAAAGG